rnacentral:rRNA from 1 species
UUUUUUCAGGUUGACCUCGGAUCAGGU